UUAAAAUUUGAUUUUUAUAUGGGUUACUUUAAAUUAAUUUCUUAUAGUAUAAUCUAAAAUUUAAUUAAAAUGUUAAAAACUGAAAAGGAAAUCAAUUAAAUAUUUUACGAGUAUUUUAUAUUACCUUUUGUAUCAGGGUAAUUUAAUUAGUUAAAUCAUUUUAUUUUCCCGAAAUGGAGGGACCUAUUUAAAUAUUUAAUUAUUUGUGUUAAAACAUUUUAUAAUAUUUAGAUUGUAAUUAUAUGUUUGUCAAUCUUUAUUUAUCUGGUUGUUAAGGAUUUAAUUUAAUUAAGUAUCUAAUUUUAUUUAAUUUAUUAAUUUAUAUUUAGAUAUAAUUUUAUUAGGGAUAAUCUUAAUAUUUUAUUAUAAUUUUCAUAGUUAAUAUUUUUUUACUUUCUUUUAAAUUUUGAAUUAAGUUUUUAAUAAAUUUAAAUAUUUAAAUAUUAUUUUGUUUAAUUUAUUUUUUUACUUAAUUUUUUUAAUUAAUAAUUAUUUAAUAUUAAUAAUGAAUUAAUUAGUAUAAAUUAUAGAUAAGUUAAAAUGAACUCGACAAAUAAUAUUUCCAACUGUUUAUCAAAAACAUUUUUUUUUGAAUUGAAUAAAAAGUAUAUUCUGCCCUAUGAAUAUUUUAAAUGGCUGCAGUAUAUUGACUGUACAAAGGUAGCAUAAUAAUUAGCUUCUUAAUUAGAAGCUGGAAUGAAAGAAUGAAUGAGAUUUAAUUUUUAUUUAAUUUAUAAUUAAAAUUUAAAUUUUAAGUUAAAAUGCUUAAAUGUUUUCUCGGGACGAGAAGACCCUAAAGAACUUUAUUUAUUUAUUUUUAAAUUAAAUUUUAGUUAAAAGGUUUAAUUUAUUAGGAUUAAAUUUGGCUGGGGUGGCAAUUAAAUUUUAACUUUAAUUUUUUUAUUCAUAUAUGAGUGUAAUUUUGGAUCUAUUAUUUUAAGAUUAAAAGAUUUAGUUACCUUAGGGAUAACAGCGUUAUUUUAAUGGGGAGUUCAUAUCUAUAUUAAAUUUUGCGACCUCGAUGUUGAAUUAAGAUAAAUUAAAGAAGCAGGAUUCUUUAAAUUAAGUCUGUUCGACUUUUAAAUUCUUACAUGAUUUGAGUUCAAACCGGUGUGAGCCAGGUUGGUUUCUAUCUUGGAAAGUUUAAAUUGAUUUAGUACGAAAGGACCAAUUAAUUAUACAUUAAUGUAUAUGAAUAUAUAAU
rnacentral:rRNA from 1 species